GGAGGAAAGUAGGGGAUCGCAAGACCCUGCGCUAAAGGAGCGGCCGAUGUCUGAUUAGCUAGUUGGUGGGGUAAAGGCUUCCAAGGCAACGAUCAGUAGUUGGUCUGAGAGGACGACCAACCACACUGGGACUGAGACACGGCCCAGACUCUACGGGAGGCAGCAGUGGGGAAUUUUGGACAAUGGGCGAAAGCCUGAUCCAGCCAUGCCGCGUGAGUGAAGAAGGCUUCGGGUUGUAAAGCUCUUUUAGUCAGAAAGAAAGAAUCAUGAUGAAUAAUUAUGAUUUAUGACGGUACUGACAGAAAAAGCACCGGCUAACUACGUGCCAGCAGCCGCGGUAAUACGUAGGGUGCGAGCGUUAAUCGGAAUUACUGGGCGUAAAGGGUGCGCAGGCGGUUUUGUAAGUCAGAUGUGAAAGCCCCGGGCUUAACCUGGGAAUUGCGUUUGAAACUACAAGGCUAGAGUGCAGCAGAGGGAGUGGAAUUCCAUGUGUAGCAGUGAAAUGCGUAGAGAUGUGGAAGAACACCGAUGGCGAAGGCAGCUCCCUGGGUUAUACUGACGUUCAUGCA
rnacentral:rRNA from 1 species